CUGUUCCGGUGAGGGGGGGGUUGUAUACAUGCAGGCACUCUAAUGCUCAAGUCAGUGAUUUGGGUGAAGCAAGGUUUUCAGUAAGUAAGAAUACGUACCUGACUCCACUACGAGAGUGGAGUAUAUAUUGAUGGAUAUUUUCGCAAGUGCACGACUUAAUCGUUCAAGUAGUAAUUCAAGAUAUCGUUCCCACGAGGAUUGUGUCAAUUCACGCAAUAGCAAUCGUAUCUAAACACUUAUAAAACUGUAAACACAUAAUUUGGGGGUAGUUUUAGCAAAACUAUUUCGAAAGUUGUUCAAAGAUUAAAGAAACGAUUGGAA
rnacentral:lncRNA from 1 species